UACAGAGGGUGCGAGCGUUGUCCGGAAUCACUGGGCGUAAAGGGCGCGUAGGUGGUGGCUUAAGCGUGCGGUGAAAGCUCGGGGCUCAACUCCGAGUCGGCCGUGCGAACUGGGCUCACUGGAGCAUAGUAGAGGCAGGUGGAAUUCCGGGUGUAGCGGUGGAAUGCGUAGAGAUCCGGAAGAACACCGGUGGCGAAGGCGGCCUGCUGGGCUAUGGCUGACACUGAGGCGCGACGAGCGUGGGGAGCAAACAGG
rnacentral:rRNA from 1 species